rnacentral:rRNA from 1 species
UUGAACGCUGGCGGCAUGCUUUACACAUGCCAGUCGUGCGGCAGCGCGGGGGCAACCCUGGCGGCGAGCGGCGAACGGGUGAGUAAUGCAUCGGAACGUAUCCUCGAGUGGGGGAUAACCCAGCGAAAGUUGGGCUAAUACCGCAUGAGCUCUGAGGAGGAAAGCGGGGGACCUGCGAGGGCCUCGCGCUGGAGGAGCGGCCGAUGUCCGAUUAGCUAGUUGGUGGGGUAAGGCUUACCAAGGCGACGAUCGGUAGCUGGUCUGAGAGGAUGAUCAGCCACACUGGGACUGAGACACGGCCCAGACUCCUACGGGAGGCAGCAGUGGGGAAUUUUGGACAAUGGGGGCAACCCUGAUCCAGCCAUGCCGCGUGAGUGAAGAAGGCCUUCGGGUUGUAAAGCUCUUUCGGACGGAACGAAAUGGGCGGGACUAAUACUCCUGUCUGAUGACGGUACCGUAAGAAGAAGCACCGGCUAACCACGUG